GGGCCCGCACAAGCGGUGGAGUAUGUGGUUUAAUUCGAUGCAACGCGAAGAACCUUACCAGGGUUUGACAUCCUGCGAAUUUCUGGGAAACCGGAAAGUGCCUUCGGGAGCGCAGUGACAGGUGGUGCAUGGCUGUCGUCAGCUCGUGUCGUGAGAUGUUGGGUUAAGUCCCGCAACGAGCGCAACCCACGUCUUUAGUUGCCAGCAUUUAGUUGGGCACUCUAGAGAGACCGCCGGUGAUAAACCGGAGGAAGGUGUGGAUGACGUCAAGUCAUCAUGCCCCUUACAUCCUGGGCUACACACGUACUACAAUGCUACGGACAAAGAGCAGCAAGUUCGCGAGGACAAGCAAAUCUCAUAAACCGUGGCUCAGUUCAGAUCGUAGGCUGCAACUCGCCUACGUGAAGGAGGAAUCGCUAGUAAUCGCAGGU
rnacentral:rRNA from 1 species